UCGUCGAUUUUCCCGGCACAGGAAGCGCAGAAGGUAGCGAAGCGAGUGUAGGAGACGCUUUCAGAGAAGCAUAGUUGAAAUGAACCAAUUGAUAGAACUGAUUGCCGAUAUACCGCCCUUAUCAACCUCGUUCAAAAACUCCCCGACGAACUUCACCACGAUACAAUGGUUCCGUUUGUGAAAUCGGCGGUUUUUCCUGGUCGUUUGGUUCACACGAAUGAGUUUCUGGUUCUACUGGGAGAAAGCUACUAUGUAGAAAGAACAGCUAAACAAACUAGUGAAAUUCUAAAGAGAAGGGGAAAGUCAUCGGAACCUGAAGUGGAUUGAGUCUUCUGAAGCAGCAUUAAGUUUCCCAAUCGCCUUAUUUGUUGUUUGUUAAUUCGUUGAAUAAGCAUUACUCUGAUUUCUUUUGUACCUAGUAUUUACUGAUUACUUUCAUUUUAUUGUUACAGGAAGGCCUUGUGGAGCUCAGAGAAGAGGAUGAAGAGGAAAAUACCACCGAACCGGUGUCUCAAUUAGGCAGAGCGCCAGUUGCUUGCGCAACAUGUUGCAUUACUUGUUCCUAUACUGUUAGAUUUUUUAUUGCCAAGGUGUUCCGUAUCAUGCAGCCUACUUAUCUGAUGAAUGUUAGUUUUCUUUUCCUAAUUGAUUAGGAUUAAUUAAAAAGGUUAUUGAUUACUUUUCUGAAGUUGAGGAUUGAAAUUAAUUUAUUUUUUUCCCUUUUCACGUCAUUUGGAGCAAGGAUGUCCUACUUUUGCUGAAGAAAACAAAUUAAUGGGUGCACCUGAGGAUGAUGAAUAUGCUCGUAUAAUGUCGAGGUUGGAAGAACUUGAGAAAGAACUUGCAGCUAAAAGUUAUGGAGAGAAUGAAAAGUGGGAUACUAAUGCUGCCGAAAGUGAUGGUGAAGAAGAUUAGCAGAGUAAAGUUGUUUCUUCACAAAAACGAAGCUGAAGGUUACAGUUCUCUUGAUCAUGGUCCUAGAUAUUAAGGGGUGUAUCAGCCCAGGAAACCACUUCUGCAGUCAAAAGGCAAAGAUCCAAUGAGUGAAGAGAUCUCUAAUAAAUAUCAGUUAGCUGUAAGAGUCUACUGGAUUUACUGUGGGACCUGUUAUCAAAGGUGAAAUGUCUCAUAGUCAAUGUAUGCCUCAAGCCACCGAGAUAAGGAUGUUAUAUCCUUCCAUAAAUGCAUCUGUUCCUUCUGAAAAGGUGAAAUCUGAAGCUGAACAUUCAUCAAGAGACGAGGUAUUUGAACUCUGUAGUAUUCUUAUGGCAUCAUCUCUUCAAGCCUUGCUCCCCCAGGAUUCGUUUUGCUUGUCUACAUGCAUCCUUUUAUCUUGAUUGCUGCUAGUUUUCAGGGACAGUUGCUCUCACUACAGCUUGAAUACCAGGAAAUGCAAGGUGAUUGCAUGGAGAUUCGGCUCUUGAUGGUUGUGGCGCGAAGAUCCUACUGUUGCUAGGGUUUCAGAAACUGUUCUUGCCUAUUUGGGCUGAACUGUAAUUGGGCUUUAGGUUUGGGCCUUGUAACCCGUUUGUAAUCAAACAUUAUGGACUAUUUCUAUUUUAUUAUUUUAUCUGUUUUUUGCAUUCAUUAGACAGGGUAAAAUUGAGGUAUUACAGCUGCCCCUCUUUGCUCGUUAUUGUGUAACGGAAACGGAGCAAAGACUUUAAAAUGCCCAAUUUUGCCCGGUCGUGCUGGACUUUGGUACUCUUCUUCUUCGGGUAGCCUCAUUCCUUCCUACUGCAUCUUCAGAAGUAUAGGAAAUAGUGCUUCAAUCUACUCCACUGCAACUUCAGGGAGAUAAGAUUGGAUGCGACCUGCUCCACUACUGCUUAGAGAAAUAAGAUCUACAAUCUUCAACUUUCUUCGCUACUGCUCAGGGGGAAAAGGCUUGGUGGCUAAAUCUGCUUCCCACUAUCUUGGAAAGAUAAGAUUUGCCGUCUUCGAUUUGUUCCACUACUACUUAGAGAGAUAAGAUCUAUAAUCUUCAACCUACUCCGCUGCUGCUCAGGGAAACAAGGCUUGGUAGCUUAAAUUUGCUUCCCACUAUCUUGGAAAGAUAAGAUUCGCCGUCUUCGAUCUACUCCACUAUUGCUUAGGGAGAUAAGAUCUAUAAUCUUCAACCUACUCCGCUGCUGCUCAGGGAGACAAGGCUUAGUGGCUUAAAUCCGCUUUCCACUAUCUUGGAAAGAUAAGAUUCGCCGUCUUCGAUCUGCUCUAUUACUGCUUAGGGAGAUAAGAUCUAUAAUCUUCAACCUACUCCGCUGCUGCUCAGGGAGACAAGGCUUGGUGGCUUAAAUCUGCUUCCCACUAUCUUGGAAAGAUAAGAUUCACCGUCUUCGAUCUGCUCCACUACUGCUUAGGGAGAUAAGAUCUACAAUCUUCAACCUUCUCCACUGCUGCUCAGGGAGACAAGGCUUGGUGGCUUAAAUCUGCUUCUCACUAACUUGGAAAGAUAAGAUUCGCCGUCUUCGAUCUGCUCCACUACUGCUUAGGGAGAUAAGAUCUGAAAUCUUUAGUCUGCCUCACUGCAACUUCAGGAGGAUAAGACUCGAUCUGUUAUCUUCACUGAUUUGUUCUCUAGGGAACAUGACAUGUGUAAUGAACCUAAUUAUGCCUAAUGAUUUAGGAUGGCAUGAUCAAAAUGUAUCAAAUGCUCCUAACUAGACACGUGUGAAUGGUGUUUGCAUGAAUGCAAAAUUUUAUUUUUUU